GUGAGGAAUAUUGGUCAAUGGGCGAGAGCCUGAACCAGCCAAGUCGCGUGAAGGAAGAAGGAUCUAUGGUUCGUAAACUUCUUUUGCAGGGGAAUAAAGUGCGGGACGUGUCCUGUAUUGUAUGUACCCUGAGAAUAAGGAUCGGCUAACUCCGUGCCAGCAGCCGCGGUAAUACGCAGGAUCCGAGCGUUAUCCGGAUUUAUUGGGUUUAAAGGGUGCGUAGGUGGUUUGAUAAGUCAGCGGUGAAAGUUUGCAGCUUAACUGUAAAAAUGCCGUUGAAACUGUCGGACUUGAGUGUAAAUGAGGUAGGCGGAAUGCGUGGUGUAGCGGUGAAAUGCAUAGAUAUCACGCAGAACUCCGAUUGCGAAGGCAGCUUACUAAGCUAAAACUGACACUGAAGCACGAAAGCGUGGGGAUCAAACAGGAUUAGAAACCCUGGUAGUCC
rnacentral:rRNA from 1 species